rnacentral:rRNA from 1 species
AUGGCAACGGCGAGGCGGGUCAAGGGCGGCGGCGCGCUUGGUUCCAGCGGGAGGAAGAACAUCCCAGUCGCUGCUCGGGAGGCGCGAAGUAGAGGGAGGAGAGGAGGCUCCAGCUUGGUCGUGGCCACGUCGGCCGGCGAGGUGGAGCUCCGGCAGUGGCUCGAUGGACAGAGGAGCUGGGUGGUUAUGCGCGGGAUCCAGAGAGAGAGAGAGAUGGGGUCGGGUCGAGGCGCAAGGAGAGGAGAGGAGCUGCGAGUGAGAGAAAGGAUCGGGCGAAGGGGAGAGGUCGAGGGAUCUCGAUCCCUCUGGUGGCGCAAGGGAAGACGAGGAGGAGGGGGUUAG